rnacentral:lncRNA from 1 species
UGGCUGGAUGGUUUUUGGUAAGUGUAUUAUAAUGCUGCAGGAUUCCAUAAACUGGGGUUAAUGCCAGAUGAUACCAUAUAUAAGGAUGAAGAAGUAAGAGAAGCCAUAAGAAGCCCUCCUGUGAACCUUUAUAAUAACAGGAUGUUUCACAUCGAUUGCGCUGGACCUGACUAUGAGGCAGCAGAUCUCGCCUAAAGAACAGUGGACCAAAUAUGACAGGAUAAAUUCUACCUUGAACCGUAUCUGAAAGCGGUUACUUGGGAGAGAAAAGAGAGAAAAGAAUGGGCAAAGAAGUAA